rnacentral:rRNA from 1 species
UGGUAAUUCUAGAGCUAAUACAUGCUAAAAACCUCGACUUCGGAAGGGGUGUAUUUAUUAGAUAAAAAACCAAUGCCCUUCGGGGCUCCUUGGUGAUUCAUAAUAACUUAACGAAUCGCAUGGCCUUGCGCCGGCGAUGGUUCAUUCAAAUUUCUGCCCUAUCAACUUUCGAUGGUAGUAUAGAGGACUACCAUGGUUUCUACGGGUAACGGGGAAUUAGGGUUCGGUUCCGGAGAGGGAGCCUGAAAAACGGCUACCACAUCCAAGGAAGGCAGCAGGCGCGCAAAUUACCCAAUCCCGACACGGGGAGGUAGUGACAAUAAAUACUAAUUAGGAGCUCUUUUGGGCUUCUAAAUUGGAAUGAGUACAACGUAAAUACCUUAACGAGGAACAAUUGGAGGGCAAGUCUGGUGCCAGCAGCCGCGGUAAUUCCAGCUCCAAUAGCGUAUAUUAAAGUUGUUGCAGUUAAAAAGCUCGUAGUUGAAACUUGGGUCUGGCUGACCGGUCCGCCUCACCGCGUGCACUGGCUCCGCCGGGCCUUUCCUUCUGGGGAGUCGCAUGCCCUUAACUGGGUGUGUUGAGGAUCCAGGACUUUUACUUUGAAAAAAUUAGAGUGUUCAAAGCAGGCAUAUGCUCGAAUACAUUAGCAUGGAAUAAUAGAAUAGGACGUGUGGUUCUAUUUUGUUGGUUUCUAGGACCGCCGUAAUGAUUAAUAGGGAUAGUCGGGGGCAUCUGUAUUCAACUGUCAGAGGUGAAAUUCUUGGAUUUGUUGAAGACAAACUACUGCGAAAGCAUUUGCCAAGGAUGUUUUCAUUAAUCAGUGAAACGAAAGUUAGGGGAUCGAAGACGAU